AUUGAACGCUGGCGACAUGCUUUACACAUGCAAGUCGAACGGUAACAGGCCGCAAGGUGCUGACGAGUGGCGAACGGGUGAGUAAUGCAUCGGAACGCGCCCAGUCGUGGGGGAUAACUGCUCGAAAGAGCAGCUAAUACCGCAUACGAUCUAUGGAUGAAAGCGGGGGACCGUAAGGCCUCGCGCGAUUGGAGCGGCCGAUGUCAGAUUAGGUAGUUGGUGGGGUAAAGGCUCACCAAGCCAACGAUCUGUAGCUGGUCUGAGAGGACGACCAGCCACACUGGGACUGGAGCACGGGCCAGGCUCCUACGGGAGGCAGCAGUGGGGAAUUUUGGACAAUGGGGGCAACCCUGAUCCAGCAAUGCCGCGUGCAGGAAGAAGGCCUUCGGGUUGUAAACUGCUUUUGUACGGAACGAAACGGUCUGGGUUAAUACCCUGGGCUAAUGACGGUACCGUAAGAAUAAGCACCGGCUAACUACGUGCCAGCCGCCGCCGUAACAC
rnacentral:rRNA from 1 species